GAACGGGGAUUUCAAAGUUCUUUUUUUUUUAUUUAUGUUAAAAACAACCUUAUAUCUACUCCUAUAUGUAUUUAUGGCAGGUGAACCAUAAAUAUUCUGCAGAUGAAAAGGUGACCACUGUGCAUCAGCUACUUUAGACAGAAGCAGACAAAACCUUUUUUAACUAUGGAUCAUUAGCGAAAAGAGCAAGAUUUAGCAAUGCAGUCUCUUCCUGAAGACUGAUAGGUGGAAAGGGUAAGACUGGGAUUCUGAAGAGAAACUGAUACUUGGUGACCUAGCAUGAUGACAUGCACCUAUACUGGAAAUUAUGUACAGUACAGAGCAUAUUUAUCAAGUUUGAAGACUGUGGCAGGUGGCCGGGUGUGGUCCGCAGCCGCCUGCCUAUUUAAGGAGCCGCCUCCCUGCAAUCAAGGCUGGAGUCGGGUGAGGAGGUGGACGAGGUCAGAGAGGAGGCAGCAAGAAGAGGCCCUGAGUGUGUUGUGUGAAGGAAAGAGAGAUGGCCAGUGAAGGAGCCAGGACUUUGGGAGACGGUGGGGGUUUGUUAGUGUGGUGCACUUAAGACUUGUAUAUAUUAAUUGUAAAUAAA